UACGAAGGGGGCUAGCGUUGCUCGGAAUUACUGGGCGUAAAGGGCGCGUAGGCGGCCCGUCAAGUCCCGUGUGAAAGCCCCCGGCUCAACCGGGGAACGGCGCGGGAAACUAGCAGGCUUGAGUUCGGGAGAGGGAAGCGGAAUUCCGGGUGUAGCGGUGAAAUGCGCAGAUAUCCGGAGGAACACCGGUGGCGAAGGCGGUUCUCUGGGCCGUUACCUGGACGCUGAGGAGCGAAAGCGU
rnacentral:rRNA from 1 species